rnacentral:rRNA from 1 species
UACGUAGGGGGCAAGCGUUGUCCGGAAUCAUUGGGCGUAAAGCGCGUGUAGGCGGCCUUGUAGGUCCGUUCUGAAAGCCCGGGGCUCAACCCCGGGAGGCGGAUGGAUACUGCAAGGCUCGAGUACGGAAGAGGCGAGUGGAAUUCCCGGUGUAGCGGUGAAAUGCGCAGAUAUCGGGAGGAACACCAAUGGCGAAGGCAGCUCGCUGGGACGUUACUGACGCUGAGACGCGAAAGCGUGGGGAGCGAACAGG